GAUGAAGAACGUAGUGAAAUGCGAUACGUAAUGUGAAUUGCAGAAUUCAGUGAAUCAUCGAAUCUUUGAACGCAUAUUGCGCUCUCUGGUAUUCCGGAGAGCAUGCUUGUUUGAGUAUCAGUAAACACCUCAACUUCCAUAUCUUUUUUUGAAAUGGGAGUUGGACUUGAGUGAUCCCAACGCUUUUCCUCACCGAAAAGUGGCGGGUUACCUGAAAUGCAGGUGCAGCUGGACUUUUCUCUGAGCUAUAAGCAUAUCUAUUUAGUCUGCCUAAAAAACAGAUUAUUACCUUUGCUGCAGCUAACAUAAAGGAGAUUAGUUCUUGUGCUGACUGAUGCAGGAUUCACAAAGACAGCUUCGGCCGACUUUGUAAACUCGAUCUCAAAUCAAGUAAGACUACCCGCUGAACUUAAGCAUAUCAAUAAGCGGAGGA
rnacentral:misc_RNA from 1 species